UACGGGGGGAGCAAGCGUUGUUCGGAUUUACUGGGCGUAAAGCGUGCGCAGGCGGUUUGCUAAGACAGGUGUGAAAUCCCCGAGCUUAACUUGGGAACUGCGCUUGUAACUGGCAAGCUAGAGUGCGGCAGAGGGGGGUGGAAUUCCACGUGUAGCAGUGAAAUGCGUAGAGAUGUGGAGGAACACCGAUGGCGAAGGCAGCCCCCUGGGUCGACACUGACGCUCAUGCACGAAAGCGUGGGGAGCAAACAGG
rnacentral:rRNA from 1 species